rnacentral:rRNA from 1 species
AUGAACGCUGGCGGCAUGUCUAAGGCAUGCAAGUCCAGGCUUGUAGCAAUACCGGCCUGGCGAACGGGUGCGUAACACAUUGGUAAUCCACCUCCAUCUCGGGUAUAACCCGGAGAAAUCUGGGACAAUCCCCGAUAGUCAUCCCGCCGUAAAGGCGGGAUGUAAAGCUUCGGCGGUUGGAGAGGAGCCUAUGGCCCAUCAGCUUGUUGGUAGGGUAAUGGCCUACCAAGGCGAUGACGGGUAGCGGGUGUGAGAGCAUGACCCGCCUCACUGGGACUGAGACACUGCCCAGACUCCUACGGGAGGCUGCAGUCGAGAAUCUUCCUCAAUGGUCUAACGGCUGAAGGAGCAAUGCCGCGUGAUCGAAGAAGCCCUUCGGGGUGUAAAGAUCUUUUAUUAGGGACGAAUUCGUGACGGUACCUAAUGAAUAAGCCACUGCUAACUUCGU